CUCACUACUGCACUUGACUAGUCUUU
rnacentral:piRNA from 5 species